rnacentral:rRNA from 1 species
AGAAUCAACGCUGGCGGCGUGCCUAACACAUGCAAGUCGCACGAGAAAGGGGACUUCGGUCCUUGAGUACAGUGGCGCACGGGUGAGUAACACGUGAAUUAUCUACCUUCGAGUGGGGAAUAACUGAGAGAAAUCUUAGCUAAUACCGCAUAAUACCUACGGGUCAAAGCAGCAAUGCGCUUGAAGAGGAGUUCGCGGCAGAUUAGUUAGUUGGCGGGGUAAUGGCCCACCAAGACGAUGAUCUGUAUCCGGCCUGAGAGGGCGCACGGACACACUGGAACUGAAACACGGUCCAGACUCCUACGGGAGGCAGCAGUGGGGAAUUUUGCGCAAUGGGGGAAACCCUGACGCAGCAACGCCGCGUGGAGGAUGAAAUAUCUUGGUAUGUAAACUCCUUUCGAUGGGGAAGAUAAUGACGGUACCCAUAGAAGAAGCCCCGGCUAACUUCGUGCCAGCAGCCGC